rnacentral:lncRNA from 1 species
UAUUUUCAUUCACAAAAAAGAAUUGCAGCUGGGUUGUUACUUAAUUAAAUUUAAUUUUUUAGAUAAAUUUAGAUAAAUUAGUAAUAAAUUUACUUCAAUGAUCUGUUAGCAUUUCGAUCUGAUCAUAAUGUCCAAAAAAUUGUUCCAAUAACUUACUCCUUUGGCAUCCAAAAGAAAAAAAAAGGGCUAUAACCCCGAGGCAUG